GUGAGUGUGAGAUUACUCUGGAUUCUGGUUAUGUGGCCUGCAGCACCUAUAAGAACAAGCUCGUACAGUGUGCCUGCAUUCCAGCUUCUUAGACUCUACGCAAGUGGACAGAGUAUCAGUGUUUGGCCACUCUUACAGACACCGACUUCUGUCAACUCACUUCUACUGAUCAGGCACCUCACUCCAGGAAGACAGAGGGCUGCAAGCCUGUCAUCGUUUCCAGUGUGGCUUUGUAUUCUUGGGGUAGUAUCAGAUUUUUCCCACAAAUAUUCAAAGGUAACACUUAUUUUAAGCUUAGUUAUUAAAUCAAAAGUCUUCCCUUGUGUUAAUUUUUUUAUUUU